CGCGUAGGUGGUUUUUUUAAGUCAGAGGUGAAAGCCCGGGGCUCAACCCCGGAAUUGCCUUUGAAACUGGAAAACUUGAAUCUUGGAGAGGUCAGUGGAAUUCCGAGUGUAGAGGUGAAAUUCGUAGAUAUUCGGAAGAACACCAGUGGCGAAGGCGACUGACUGGACAAGUAUUGACGCUGAGGUGCGAAAGCGUGGGGAGCAAACA
rnacentral:rRNA from 1 species